rnacentral:rRNA from 1 species
AUGAACGCUGGCGGCGUGGUUAAGGCAUGCAAGUCGAACGGACCUCAUUUUUCUCGAGAUUGAGAUUAUAUCAAUGUCAAAAGUCGUUUGAGGUUAGUGGCAAACGAGGUAGUAAUACAUAGGAACUUCCCCCGAAGUCGCGAACAACGCACCGAAAGGUGUGCUAAUACGUGAUAGUCCCGUAAGGGUAAAGAUUUAUCGCUUUGGGAAAGGCCUGUGAGGUAUCAGCUAGUUGGUAGUGUAAUGGACUACCAAGGCUAUGACGCCUAGGGGAGCUGAGAGGCUGACCCCCACCGAUGGUACUGAGACACGGACCAUACACCUACGGGUGGCUGCAGUCAAGAACCUUCCACAAUGGGCGAAAGCCUGAUGGAGCGACGCCGCGUGAUUGAAGAAGUCCUUCGGGACGUAAAGAUCUUUUAUGAGGGAGGAAGUUUAUUGACGUUACCUCAUGAAUAAGGGGCUCCUAAUCUCGU